ensembl:lncRNA
UUAACACUGAUAUUUUUCUUUGUCUUCCUAGGGUUACCUCGGUGGAAGCCAACAAUCUUCUACAGUUGGAGCAGUUGGACGGUCGACCACUGGAAGCACUGACGCCCUACACUUCGGUGAAGCCCAAUAGACAAAGACCAUCGACUAUCCGAGCCCCCCAGGAGGUAACCCAUCCACCAGAACCAGUGAGUUUGGAUCAGUCUGAUUCUCUGUGAUCUGAGUCAGAGGGGGACCAGCUUGAGGGGUUCUGCCCAACACCCAGACGUGGAUCCACCUGAUGUCCUCCAUUACCAACCACCCUCCAACUUUCAUUACAUCAUGUACAGCUACUGUUGUCAUUAUCUGCUAAGUAAGAGCAAGAAAACUAUCAUACUGGGCACAUAAAAUUUGAGAAACACAGAUUAUCUAAAAACACUAGCACUGCAAACACUCAGAGCAAAGAGAGCAGCCGCGCCUGGACUCCCUGCAGUCUCCCUCUUCAAGUCCCCCUUCUGAGACUGGCUGCCUGUUGAGAACAAGUGACAGGCAGAACCUCCC